CGUGGCCGCCCGCCAUGGCCCCGCCGGCGGCACCCGCAAUGGCCCCGCCGCGCCGCCACCCAUGGCCCGGGCAUGCUGCUGCCGCCCUGCAUUGUCGAGGGCGAGGCAGGGCUGCCAGUUGUGGGUAGAAGAACUAGUGGACCCCGCGUGGAAGUGAGAGGAGGGAAGAUGGUCGAGGUGGGCUGUUGCUUGUGUGCUGGGCCAGUGGGGUGAAAAGAACUGGGCUUAUGAGAUUUAUGGGGUGGAGUUCUCCCAAACAUAAUGAGAAAAAAUUGAUGGAGUGGUACUGAAUGGUGGAGUGGAGCAGAUUUUUUUGAAGUGGAGUGCUCUCAAACAAACCCAUAGUCAAAUAAUCUACUAAUGGUUUCUCGAUCUUUCAGGCUUCGUUUGUUGAGAGAGCCAGGCAACCAAUGCAAAGCACAUGACCGAGCCAGGCAACCAACGCAAUGCAAUAGGCAAAUGCUACUCGUACUAAUCCAUGACAGACCACUGAUGAUUUCACCAAUGCGGAUAUUCUUGAAGUCACUUAUCCUGCUGUGGCAAAGAGGCUAAAUGGAGAUUGGAUGGAUGGCCCUGCCAUUCCCAUAGUCACUGGUUUUCUUGGGAAGGGAUGUAAAUCAUGUGCUGUCACCACAUUAGGCAGGGGUGGUUGUGACUUGACUGCUACAUCUAUUGGCAAAGCUUUGGGAUUAAGAGAAGUCCAGGUUUGUUUUCAAUGUCACAGAUCCUUACAUUAAUGCAUAUGGAAUGCCUGUGUUUGGUUCGGGUUCAUUAAGUUUUUACGAUCAAUAAGUUGUUCAGGGCUUUAGAUCCUCUAAUAAUAUUACUAUUAAUGUACUUUCAUUACCCUAGCUUACUUGGGUCUAACAGGCUCUGUUGUUGUUGCAAGCUGUUCAUAUGCUUAAUAAAAACUACAAGUCCCCUGUAACUGAUUUGCUAAUUCUUUCUUUUUUAUAGGUUUGGAAGGAUGUAGAUGGUGUGCUGACAUGUGAUCCUAAUAUUUAUGCAAAUGCGAUACCCGUCCCCUACUUGACUUAUCUUGAUCAGAAGUUUUAGUUUACAUGAUCAUUCUGCUUUGCCUUUCUUUUUUUUUUGUUGGUUUAGGAGGUUAGAUGUGCAGGCAGAAAAUUUUAUUAACUGGUAACCUUGUUGUUUAAUUUAUUUCUGCUAUAACUUGUUAUACAUACCUAUCGUUAGGUUUUGCAUCCUCAAUCAAUGCGGCCUGCUAGGGAUGGUGAUAUACCAGUUAGAGUUAAGAACUCAUACAAUCGUCAUUCGCCUGGUACAGUCAUCACUAAAGACAGAUAUGAGCAAGGUCUGUUGUGUUCUCGUGUACUGAUAUACCAGUUAGCGAUGUUGCUGCAUGCCAGGCAUUCAGUGUUCUGCGAAGAAAUGGUGUUAACGUGCAGAUGAUCUCACAAGGGGCAUACAAGGUGAACAUUUCCUUGGUAGUCAAUGACAUUGAGGCAAAACAGUGUGUGCAAGCCCUCCAUUCGGCAUUCUUUGAGAACGGCUUCAUGUCAGAAGUCGAGGGAGCUGAUGUUCCCCAGAACGGCGCCUCUCUGAACUCAAACGGUGCUACCUAUGGAAACUAGUCGACUCUGCAAUUGCAUUCUCCCCAAUUGUUGUGCCAUUAAUAGGUUGAGUGGUGAUUCGUAGCAAUUUAUUUAGGUCACCCAAACGAAAUCCUUGCUGUUGUAAGAGCUUACCAGGAACAGUUUGCAUUGUAUGCCAUUGUUUACCAUGUGAUCGGGUGCUACCAAGUAGUAACCAAUGUCCAAUGGUCUUGGGGAUC